AUUUGUAUAGCUUAUUCAGAGCGUAGUAUUGAAGAUACUCAGGAAAUAAUUUUUGUUUACAAGUA
rnacentral:tRNA from 1 species